CCAAUAGCGUAUCUUAAAGUUGUUGCAGUUAAAAAGCUCGUAGUUGAAUUUCGGGAUCAAUCUAUCGGUCGUGCAAUAGUACGUACUGAUUUUAUUGAUUCCUCCCUUCUGAUGAACUAUGAUGUCAUUAAUUUGGUGUCAUAGGGAAUCAGGACUGUUACUUUGAAAAAAUUAGAGUGUUUAAAGCAGGCUCACGCUUGAAUACAUUAGCAUGGAAUAACGAAAUAGGACGUUUGAUUCUAUUUUGUUGGUUUCUAGGAUCGACGUAAUGAUUAAUAGGGAUAGUUGGGGGCAUUAGUAUUCAAUUGUCAGAGGUGAAAUUCUUGGAUUUAUUGAAGACUAACUACUGCGAAAGCAUUUGCCAAGGAUGUUUUCAUUAAUCAAGAACGAAAGUUAGGGGAUCGAAGACGAUCAGAUACCGUCGUAGUCUUAACCAUAAACUAUGCCGACUAGGGAUCGGAUGAUGUUAAUUUUUUAAUGACUCAUUCGGCGCCUUACG
rnacentral:rRNA from 1 species